UUGGCUGCUAGUUUCUGUUUCAUAUCAGUGGCAGCUGAAUGCAGUCAGACAGCAGCGUGAGGCAGAGGAAGCUGCCAUCAGCUGCUGGACUUCUACUAUCAGUCCACUAGAUGGAGGCAUGAAGCUGCAGCCCAGCACACACACCUGCAUGGAGGAGCGGUGAUAACAGGUGUUGUGCCGAAUUCUGCCUGCCUGCCGAGAAUUGCAUGCACCUCGCGAGUGAAAACGGUCAUUUAUGCUGAGAAAAGAGGUGGAUGCAAAUCUCUGCAGGUAGCCUACAAAAUUUGAUCUGCCGAAUUAUGCAUCCACCUCUUUAGGUCCUUUUACGGAGAUACCGGAAGAGGUGGGGAGAUUCAGUGUGUGUUAGGUUACGACGUGUUGGAAUAAAGUCAAGCUAAGACAACGUACCGCCUCCUCAUCUGUAUUAAGGAUAUACAAAGAUAGCAACAGGUUUACGUGACAGACACUUUGCUGAUCAAACGGCGUUAUCACCACAUAUAUUUACUGAAUGUCAAGGAAUGGUACUUCUACUAAGUGUAUUAAAAUAUUAAAGACUCUAAACGUUCAUAAAAUAUUUACUUAGAAUCAUUUAUCACCAUUGAUGAAGGCCACAAAGAAUAUUAUAGCGUUUAAAAGCAGCAUUUGGAGGUGCACGCAAUUCUCGGCAUGUCGACAAAACUCUGCUGAACACCGGCCGAGCGCUUAGAGUCUCAGACAGCGGCUCGUCUCCGCCUCCUGCACAGGCUGCUUCAGGCAGGAAAAGAUGCCUUCAGUCAUUAGUACAAAACAAAUUACUUCAUGUUGGAUAAGCUUCAGAUGAAAAGUCAUAACUAGGUGAUGUUCUAAGAAACAAACCAAGUGUGUUGGUCCAUCGUGACACUGCUGCAGGAGAGGAGGAGAAGUGACUGCUUCCACUCACACCAUCAAUAAUCCAAUCAUAGGAAAGAUGCCCAAAUUCAUUUGAAAUACAUUGUUCUUCCAAAUUAGUACCCAUAAUGCAGCUCUUUUAGUUUUCUAUCACAGCUCAUGUUUAAAAUUAGUCUGUUUUGUUUUAAACCCUCUGAACCUGGAAAAGCUCAAAAAUCCAGCAUCGUAACUGCUGCUUAAAAUCGCACUGCAAGAGAAGCACUUAGGGGACUUAAUCUGUUAAUAAUCUGGAUCCAUUUGGUUCCAAGGUGGAAGGAAUGUAUCGGAGCUUCCCACUUUGGUAACACAUACAUGUUUUGGUGUUGGUGCUGUGAACAACAUGCAGGAAGAUGACAACAACGAUGCACCAGGUGCACAUUUUAGACAGAGAAGAUGGAUGGUUUGAAAGAGGUGUCAAGGAAGGAAUCUACACCAGGGUUGAGAAGCCGUCGCUUAACAGAGUCAGCCACCACUUAUCCCCCACUUACAACGCUGUCCUAUCAUCACUUCCCAGGAAACUUAACAAACGUUACCUCUUGGCCUCAGGUGAGGGUGACUGGUUUCUAUCAGAUCAAUGUAGUGAAGCAAAAGGUACAAUAUUCCUUUCUGAAAUGCAGUGGAGCAGAGCACAAAGUAUACAUGAAAUAGAAACGCUCAAGCAAAGAACAGAACCUCCAAUGUGUGCAGAAACUGCAUACACUGAGUACCUCCUCACUUCCCCUAAUGCUUGAGUUCAGUAAUGAAGCAGCUGGUCUUAAAUAAUUUACAGUAAUUGUCCUGACUGUACUGAUAUGAGUCUUCUUGGUAGAACAUUUUGGCCCUAUUUCUAAUAGGGUCAACGUCUGCAUAUAUAAUACACAUAGAAAUCUAUACUUUAAAUGUGUUUAUUCUCUACAGCAUAAGAAACAUUUAAACACAAAUACUGCAGGAAUACCUUUUUUUAUGACUGGUUUAGAUGAUGUUUUCCCUGACGUCCACUGGAUGGCAGCAAUCUCUCUACAUUCAGAAACAGGGAAAUCCAACUUUUGUACUUUUUAAUGAACAUUUCUGCUAAUGUUUGUGUUGUUUAUUAGUUUUGAGUGUGAGGAACAGUUCCAAAAGACUAAUAACAGACACUACUAAGCCAUUUCCAAAUGCAGAAAAUAUUUAUUUAUUUGGGGGUUGAUUCAUAGUUUUGUCUUUUUGAUUGUUAAAUCAAAUGUACUAUUAUAAUCUGUCUCCACAAAAUAAUUUUACUUGUGGUUGUAUUUA